rnacentral:rRNA from 1 species
CCUACGGGUGGCUGCAGUGGGGAAUUUUGGACAAUGGGGGCAACCCUGAUCCAGCCAUGCCGCGUGCGGGAAGAAGGCCUUCGGGUUGUAAACCGCUUUUGUCAGGAGAGAAAUCUCUUGGGCUAAUACCCUGAGAGGAUGACGGUACCUGAAGAAUAAGCACCGGCUAACUACGUGCCAGCAGCCGCGGUAAUCCGUAGGGUGCAAGCGUUAAUCGGAAUGAGUGCGGGCGGUGGGUGAACAGGGGUGUGAAAUCCCCGGGCUUAACCUGGGAACGGCACUUGUGACUGCACGUCUAGAGUACGGCAGAGGGGGAUGGAAUUCCGCGUGUAGCAGUGAAAUGCGUAGAUAUGCGGAGGAACACCGAUGGCGAAGGCAGUCCCCUGGGCCUGUACUGACGCUCAUGCACGAAAGCGUGGGGAGCAAACAGGAUUAGAUACCCCAGUAGUC